AGCCCUGCACAUCUGGACAGAAUACGCCUGGACUCUUUCAGUAACGCUCGCACAGAGUUGUUUAAAUGAGCUUCCUUUUGUUCAGAUGUGAGAUUGAGAUCGCCCAGCUCUGGCUCCACUUACGCACACAUCUCAUCCUCCAAACACCCCAUAGCAGUUGGAUAAUGAUCAUGUUUAGUGCAUCGCAAAUAUAUUUAUUCACUGCAGAUAUAGCACGCGGCAUUAUGUCUGCAUCAUAAUCCGACCAACGUUUCACUCGUGGGUUUUCAAUUUGAGGAACAAUAUGCAUCUGAAAAAAACAAAACAGAAUAAGAUUGUGCAAAUUUGCAUUUGUGUGCGUGUUUGCAGGUGAACCCAAAAAUGCCCCAGGUGACGAGCAGGAAUUAUUUUCACCAGAGCCACAGAUUUUCCUUUUUACCCACUUUCCAGCAGCUGAAACACAGGAUGUUUGCGACUGAGUGAGAUGAGCAGCCUGCAAUGCCUGUAAUGAAGCAUUAAUGACCAUGCCCUCCACACCUAGCACGAGAACUCAGACGAGAAGGAAGGAGAGGACGUCCACGUGACUCGCGCCAUGCCGGUGGUUUCUGUUGUCUAGUGCGAUCCCACGCUGACCUCCACUCCAGUAUCAAACGAGGAAAGAAGAUGGAUGUCAAUUUUUCAGCAAGCCACAGAGAGUCCUGCUCUGUCUGAAGCCUGGGGGUCCGGAUACCCCUCUCCCUCUCAUCCCCCUCCUCCUACAGAGCCAUCAGCCCCCGCCUGGCACUGGUCCCCGGCCCAUCGAUUACUGACCCAGCAGGCCUGACCAUGCGGCAGCCGUCCCCUCCACCUCGGUGCCCUCCAGCGCAUCUUUUGGAUCUGCAGCUGGAAACUUGCAGGAACAAAGGGUGCUGGAUCUCCAGACCAGACUGAGAGUAGUGGUAAGACAUCCCCCACCCUCUGGCUGUUACACUCUGUGUCCAACGGAGUGGAAGAACAGCAUUUGGACAAAUUCUGCCAUACUGCAUACUGGCAUAGUAAUGAUCUGAAACACGUCUGUAGCGAUGGCCAGGACCCUGGGCACAUGGAAACGCGUCCUUGCAGAGGGGUUUUACCAUCUCUAGCCACUGUCACAUGGUCCCAAAGCGCUCACAGAGGACGGACGCCACUGAGGAUGGAGACACCCUCACGGGAGGACUGGGAGUAACGUUCCACUCAGCGUGCGGAUGUCGGGGGUGUGUUUACCCAGGGAGCAGAGAGAUUGAUGAGCAUCUCUUGUACUGCAGUGUCACAGCUUGUCGACCGGGUCACAUACCCAGAGUUUUACACGUGUUCCUGUUCCAAAAAAGUCUAAUAUCAUCACCGGUUCAUGUGUGGCUUUCUCUGGUCUAAAUACUGCAGCAGUGUCCUUAGCAUGAUGCCCCUCCUUCAGGAUGCAAAGAUGCUCUUACCCCACUUAAUGUUCACAGGAUAAAUACAAACACAUUUCAUUCAUGUUAAUGCUGUAAUGUUGUUUAGGUGAUGUACUGAGGUUAUAACAGUGCAUCUCCAGUGACUGACAUGUUCACUCUCCUUUACCUCUCUCUCUCUCUCUCUCUCUCUCUCGCUCUCUCUCUCUCGUUCCCUUUUUUCUCUCACUCUCAUUUUCUUUCCAUCUCCAUCUACACCAAAUUUGUCGGAUUCAAGCUGAUGAAGGCUGAUUUCAUUUUAUACCCCAACUUCUCCUCCCUAAAACGUACUGAAGGUGGGAACUGUCCGUUACCAUGACAUCAGAACUCUCACUUAUAACGGUUUACUGUUGUGAUUAAGGUUUGGAAGGAACUAAAGCAAAACAAAAUAGCACCACAUAGCUGUUUAUGCUGGGAAAGUCGAGAGUUCCUCUGUAUUCAGUGUCGUGGCUGGCUCAAGGACGAGACAAGAAUGUUCUAGAAUGUUCAGGACCGUGCCGAUUAAAACGCACCCGCUGGUAAUUGGUGCUGCUGUUUAACCAGUAUGAGCUCUUUGAGGGAUCAUCAAGUAUUAUUAUUUGCCACCACAGUCAAUAAUUACGCACCGUUGGGUCUCUUCACCCAAGCAAGAUGCCCAAGGCAAGAAAAUGGUGACAACAGACAAGGGUGUAUAGCCGGCCUGUGUGUGUAUAUAUGCUUGUGUGUGUUUGUUUGUGCAUGUGUGCUUACAUGUGUGAAGGGUGGAGGCUGUACAUUGGACAAAAUGCCAGGUAGAAUGCCUUCCCCACACCUUCCGAGGCAUUUUGUGGAGUAACGAGCUGAUAAUUCCUCCCGGCGUGAUCAAAGUCUCUGCUCCAAACGAGCUCUUUAUCCUUCCCUCUGUGUCAUAGCCCCUCCCCCUCUCCCCUCGGCUUCCUCGGCUUCCUCCUGCUCUGCACCUUAUUCAGCUCCCUCUCCAGCACGCUAAUCCCCACAGCUCUCAUUAUUUCACACCCUAGGAGACCUUUGGAACCUGGAGCAAGCCAGAGUGGCCCUUCCGCACUGGUCCCGGGUUUGCACUGUGGCUCGUUUGAAAAAUAUGGGUUGGGUUCUGUCACACCCUAUGCUUCUUUACACCAUUUAGCUGAUGCUUUUUUUUUAUCCAAAGCAACUUACAAUUCUGAACACAACUUGAGGGUUAAGGGUUUUGCUCAGGGGCAGGGCUUCAACCAGCAACCUUCAGAUUACAAGUCAAGUACAUUAACCACAUAGCUACCCCUGCCUGUAUUAUUACAUUACUAGCUUCCAAAUGGUAGUUCUCAUUGGUUUGUGCAGGGUCUUAAAAAUAAACAUAUAAAUUAGCUAAAUUAGAAAUUAAUUUAGUACCUAAAUUAGUAAAACUCAGGAACAGUAGGCUGAAGUGUGUGCUGACUUUUUCUGAUGUGCUUAUAAACCUUAUUGUGAAUUCUUCAAGUUUUCUACAUCAGCUUCAUUUUGUAUAUUUCCUCUGAUCUCCCACCACCCUCAAGGUUAAUGCUUCCGUGACCUGGUGGAGCUCGGCACGCAAUAGGCUCUGCUGCCAGUUAAAAACCCUGCAGCAAGCAGACUGACAGAAUUAGGGAGCGAGUGCUCCAAACAGCUCGGGAGGCCCAUGACGCUACCCACCAGGCUGUCGCCCGCUAAGGCAAGCUGGAGCACGCUAGGAAGGCGGAUGCCUGCACACACUACCCGUGGUGUAAUUGCCCUUCGGUGUCCUUUUCACACCGUCUCCAUCCGCAUUUUCAUUUUCACAGUAUUUAUCACUGAGAACCUGAUAAUAAGUCUGAGGUAAAUUAAUAAGAAUGUUAUAAAUCGUGUAAUUCGCUGUAAGAUUGCGAGGUUGUUACCAGAAUUGUCAGAAGGUGGAGAGAGCAGGGAAAUUAAGUGGCAGACAGAAGGGCGAUAAUGGAAAAAAAAAAAUCAAGCACAGUUAGACCACUAAAAAGGGGCACUGAAGGACAAGCAUUUUCUACACCUCCUCCCUCUUUUCCUCUCUCUCUCUCCUGCUCCCUCUCCCUCUCUCUCUCUCUCUUUCCGUUUCUUUCCACUGCACUCUUGUUGAAUUUUAAGUGCCUGACCAACAUCUCAGCAACGCAGCCUGUGUGGCUGUCAUGCUAACUAGGCAGAAGGCACUAGCUGGGAUUGGUUAAUUAAUUAGUGUACUCUAAGGAAGGUGGGUACUUUGCAAAGGGCUGAUGGGUCUGUGGUAUGGAGAUUUGCCAUCCCAGACUGCCUGCCUAGCUGCUGCAGUCACUGCUGGAGUGGAGUGUUUGUGGGUGUGUCCUCAAACACAAACGGUUGUGCCCUCUGUUUGACCCUCGCAGAACGCAGAGCUCAUUAAGAGCAGGAGUGAAGGAGUGUAGGAACGGAUGGAACGCUUCAGUCAGGAGGGUCAUCCCCAGACCUCACGUUGUAUCGGCACUGACAGCGCUGUGACAGGGAUUCAUCAUCCUGCCUUCUCCUUCUCUCCCUCGCACUCUCUCUCUCUCAUUGUCUGUCUGUCAUUUGGAUUCAGUGUAGCUCGAUCAUCUUGGCUGUAUCAAGUACAAUAUUCCCAGGGUGCAUAAAAGCAAAGUUUUAAAGUAUUUCUGUAGCUUUAAAAUAUUCAACAAAAGUAAUUAUAUAUACUGUAGAUAUAGAUGUAAAUGUAGAUUUAUGAUAGAUGGACAUAUGCGGUAUAGACAGAGGAAUCUCUGACUAUCUGUCCAUAUUUCUAGACUUCCAUAGAUAAACCCAUGACAAUUUUAGAAAGCGCAGUAAAAGUGUUCUGCCUCUCCGCUGGCGCAGAAAAGACCGACACAGUUACAUCCGCGUCGUAAAUGGCCGGGAGCCACCUGCCUCUCCCCAACUCCGCUCCACGUACGUCUCCUGUCAGCAGGAAGUGAUCCAGGUCAUCUCAGUCUCCUGAUCCCUCUGCCAGCAUCUCCGCGCUACAUCAGUUACCCAAAGGUGCCCACUAAUAGAGCUUCUCCAUUGAUUAAGUCAAUGGCUACCUUCAUAUUAGGGUUUAAUGCUGGGUUAAUCGGACAACAUGCAGGCCGUGGCCUACACUAAACGCAUUCAUCGCUUGCACAAAGGCUAAUUGGGCCCUGAAGGCCUUCCGUUUAUAGAUGCUCAUCAUUACUUAAUGAGAUGGAAUGCCACUGAGCGUGUCGGUCUUUGUUGUAGGCUCCACUUCCAUCUGAACCCCUUCCAUUAAUGUCAGGAUGGCUCUCAGUAUCCUAUGUGCCACUAGACUGCACUUAAUAUGAAUGCAUUAUUAAUAUAGAAUAUAGAUAUUGCCAAUGCUUUUUAAAAUGUAUUUAUUUAUUUAUUUUUGCGAUACACAUAGUUGACAACUAUGUUUGAGGUGUUCGUCCUCGCUGUCGUAGGUGUAGUAUAAAUAUUCAUAAACCAAAAUGUUUAAAUGGGAAGAAUUCUAUAUUUAAUAUCAGGCACUGUGAUACGGAUUAGUGAUCUGUUUAUGUACCUCGGUCAGUCCACCUCGUCCUUCAGUGGCAAUUUAAAACAUGUUCCUGUGAGAAGAGGCUAACACUCUUAAAGUUGUAAAUUCUUGGACAUGCACUUGUGACAACAAAAAUUCUAAAUAUAAAUAAAUGUUUGUAGUAUACUAGCU